AAGAUUUCUCAAAACUAAGUACUGAGCUGAUAGAACUUUGUAAUUCUAGGGUAGCGAUCCGUCUAAAGUAAUCAUUAAAACUAAAUAGAUAUUUCAAAAGUAGAUCACAAAAACUUCUUAGAAUUUUACACAUGACACCCCUCCCCUCCCCCCCCUCCCCCCUCCCGAAAGUCCCUGAAUCAAGGUUUUCAGUUUGUAAGAAAAUGUGACAUCGUGGAUUUCCCUGAAUCAAGGUUUUCAGUUUGUAAGAAAAUGUGACAUCGUGGAUUUCCCUGAAUCAAGGUUUUCAGUUUGUAAGAAAAUGUGACAUCGUGGAUUUUCUCCCUGUAGUCCUCAGUUUAUCAAUUGGUAGAUUUUCCCCCACAGGGUAUUCAUCUGUUAUGUGUAAAGUUUUUCUAUAGAGGCUGCCCCUCUGUAUCUCUAGCUUUUUUCCCUUGGAGGAAGUAAAAAAGUUCUGGGAGCUCAUGUGGAGCGAUAUUUAUAUUACGAUACAAUGUUUUUAUUAAUUAUUAAUGUUUUUAAUGGUGUACCGACCGCUCUUGAAGUUUAAGUAAAAAGUUUGUAAGUUUUCUAAAGAGAUGUACAGUCCUUCCAAGUAUGAUUUUUGUUGAGUUCCUAAAACUUUACCUUCUCUGUGGCUGCGGCCUAGUACUUUUAGAGACUAAGUGGGGAUUUUUGUCUGAUCAGGUUUGUCAGUGGGUGGUUGGCGGAUGCUCUGUUGUGGUUUACUCUUUCUUUAUUAUCAAACAUCUAUUGUCCUUAUCUGUCUUUUUUUUCUUUGUAUUUUACUCUCUAAAAACACCUCACCUCAUCUUUGAGUUUAACACUUGGGUGACCUUACGAAAACGAAACCAAAAGUAUUGACAUUGUUUUUCACCUGUCCUGUAUGGUUGUGGUGGCUACCCUGGACACUUUCCUCCAGUGGGUUAGCGGAAUAACCUUUGACCUCUGUACUGACAUUUCCAGACAUAGCAACGUAUCUGACAAAAUCAAGGUUUUUUUGGGUUUUUUUUCAUUUUUUCUUUUAUAUUGGUUUGCUUCACACUAGUCUUUCCCCAUAUCCAUUGUGUGUCAAAGGUAGGAGGAAAUAGUGUUUUUUCAAAUUGGUAAAUUUACGCAAGUGACUGAUCUUAGUCUCAUUGUCAAUACAUCAGAGUAACAUUAUAUUCCACCUGGCACACCCCAUGUUUAAAAGCAUACAUAACGUCAAUUGAUAUGUAUUAAAUUUGUUUUUGGGGAGGUUUUUUUGUUUUUUUCUCUCAAAAUAAUAAAACGUGCAGUUAUGUC